rnacentral:rRNA from 1 species
UACGGGGGGGGCAAGCGUUGUUCGGAAUUACUGGGCGUAAAGGGCUCGUAGGUGGCCAACUAAGUCGGACGUGAAAUCCCUCGGCUUAACCGGGGAACUGCGUCCGAUACUGGAUGGCUUGAGUUUGGGAGAGGGAUGCGGAAUUCCAGGUGUAGCGGUGAAAUGCGUAGAGAUCAGGAAGAACAUCGGUGGCGAAGGCGCUCUGCUGGACCAUAACUGACACUCAGGGACGAAAGCUAGGGGAGCGAAUGGG